GGGAGCGACUUGGCUUCGACAGGAGUAAGUCUGCUUAGAUGGCAUGUCGCUUUGGACAAAGCGUAAAAAGUCCAAAUUAAAAUUAAACGCAAAUAACGUUAAAUUUGCUCCUGCUUACGCUAAAGCUGCGUAAGUUUCAGUUGAGCCCGAAACUCAAGUGAUGCUAUCUAGCUUGAAUUUUGGUCAUCUUUGAUAGUGUAGAUUGAAAAUUGACAACUUUUAAUCGAAGUUAAAGUCUUAGUCUAGCUUGAAAUUUUUGGAAGGUGAGUUUAGCUAGAUGAAGUUUUCACCUUUGCUAAGCAUGUAGAGGUCUUUGUGGGAUUAUUUUUGGACAGGGGUUCGAUUCCCCUCGCUUCCACCA
rnacentral:tmRNA from 1 species